AAGAGACAGCAGUAGCCGCGGUAAUACGUAGGUCCCGAGCGUUGUCCGGAUUUAUUGGGCGUAAAGCGAGCGCAGGCGGUUAGAUAAGUCUGAAGUUAAAGGCUGUGGCUUAACCAUAGUACGCUUUGGAAACUGUUUAACUUGAGUGCAAGAGGGGAGAGUGGAAUUCCAUGUGUAGCGGUGAAAUGCGUAGAUAUAUGGAGGAACACCGGUGGCGAAAGCGGCUCUCUGGCUUGUAACUGACGCUGAGGCUCGAAAGCGUGGGGAGCAAACAGGAUUAGAGACCCGCGUAGUCCCUGUCUCUUAUACA
rnacentral:rRNA from 1 species